AAAUGACGGUACCUGACUAAAGCCUCGGCUAACUACGUGCCAGCAGCCGCGGUAACACGUAUGAGGCGAGCGUUGUUCGGAUUUAUUGGGCGUAAAGCGCGUGUAGGCGGGGAAUUAAGUUAGGUGUGAAAUCCACUGGCUCAACCAGUGAAUUGCACUUAAUACUGAUUCUCUUGAGUUCGGGAGAGGAGAGCGGAAUUCUCGGUGUAGCGGUGAAAUGCGUAGAUAUCGAGAAGAACACCAGUGGCGAAGGCGGCUCUCUGGCCUAGAACUGACGCUGAGACGCGAAAGCGUGGGGAGCAAACGGGAUUAGAUACCCCGGUAGUCCACGCCGUAAACGUUGUAUACUAGGUGUUGGCGGAUUUAUCCGCUAGUGCCGAAGCUAACGCAUUAAGUAUACCGCCUGGGGAGUACAUUCGCAAGAAUGAAACUCA
rnacentral:rRNA from 1 species